rnacentral:rRNA from 1 species
UACGAAGGGGGCUAGCGUUGCUCGGAAUCACUGGGCGUAAAGCGCACGUAGGCGGCUUCUUAAGUCAGGGGUGAAAUCCUGGAGCUCAACUCCAGAACUGCCUUUGAUACUGAGAAUCUUGAGUAUGGGAGAGGUGAGUGGAACUGCGAGUGUAGAGGUGAAAUUCGUAGAUAUUCGCAAGAACACCAGUGGCGAAGGCGGCUCACUGGCCCAUAACUGACGCUGAGGCACGAAAGCGUGGGGAGCAAACAGG